UGGACGUCAGGGGAGUGUUCACACACAGCCAGAUAAAUAUCACAGUUCAGUCGUCUUUUAGAUCAAUCUGAUCAGACAUUUUAAGAGUUACUAUCGUGAGCUUUUUUGAACCGAAGAAGAAAAUGUUUCUCAAAUUAGUUUUGAUCUGUUUGUGUUUGCGGAGUCUGGAUGGUAUGUUUGGUAAUGAAUAUUGGCCAAUGUUUGUGUCAGUGAAGGAGGGAGAUUCAGUCACUCUAAACUCUGAUCUCACUGAAAUGAAGGAUGAUGAUGAGAUUCAGUGGAGGUUUGGAGACACUUUAAUAGCUGAAAUCAAUAAACGGAACAACAGCUUCACUGUAUAUGAUGAUGAUCUUGAUGGGAGAUUCAGAGACAGACUGAAAAAAAGUUUGACUGAACAAUCAAACUGGAUCUCUGACCAUCACAAACAGAAACAACUGAACAUGCUGGAUCUUUUCUACUAGAGAUUAUUGGAGAAAAAUCGAUCAGGGGAAUACACGUUUUAAACUGUUUGUGUACAAGUGAUUUCACUUUCUAAAUUAAUGCGCUGGUUCCUUGUAACUUAAACACACACAUACAAACAGUAGCUCACACAUUAUUUGCAGUCAGAUCGCACGCAGAAUUAUUAAAAACUUAUUGUCAACACUGUCCUGCGAUUAAUCAACAAAUCGAUUAGGAACUGAAAUAAUACAUAAUCAUUAUUUGAUCUGAAUCACUGAACUCAUUUACAGCCCAAUCUCUGAGUUAGAUUUACGUUAUUGAUUACAGCAGACAUGUUUUGUGUCAUUUAUACACUCACAGACAUUCGGCAUAUGAAACACAACAAUGGUGACAUGCUUCAUGCCAGCAUUCAAAACACAUUCAUGGCUCCCAGCAUGCAUUGCGGCAGUUCUGAUGUUUAAGUGCGUCUCAACUUUCCAAUAGUUUUGGACAAUAUUACACAAAUCACAUUAAAUGUUUAUCAACACUGUUGAGUUUAUUAUUUUCUUCUUAAAAAUGCUCCAAUUCCAACAGUAAGCAAAACUACAGAAAAAGUAGUUAAUACCGCUGAAUCAUUUGACCAUUAAAGCUGUCAUGUUGAUCUUUAUCAAUGCAGACUCUUGUAACUGCUGAAAAAAAGGUAACUUAACAAAAGUUAAGGGUGCCACUAAAGCAAACACCGAUCUCCAUACCGGUGACCUCAAACAAAACAUUUUUAACCAAACAUCAACAUUUAAACUUCUGUUAAUAAUAAAUAAAAUCUGCUGUAGACAGAAAUAAAGUCAGUCUGGUUAGUAAUAAGUGAAGCUGGUAAUGCUGUUUGUGGAGUUGUUUAAUCAGAUCUUCAGAGAUUUAAAGGGUUAGUUCACCCAAAAAUGAAAAUUCUGUCAUUUAUUACUCACCAUCAUGCUGUUCCACACCCGUAAGACCUUCGUAGAUCUUUGGAACGCAAAUUAAGAUAUUUUUGUUUAAAUCCGAUGGCUCAGUGAGGCCUGCAUAGCCAGCAAUGACCUUUCAACUUAUAUAGUGAUGGCCGAUUUCAAAACACUGCUUCAUGAAGCUUCGGAGCAUUAUGAAUCUUUUGUGUCAAAUCAUGAUUCAGAUCGCGUGUCAAAACGCCAAACUGCUGAAAUCACGUGACUUUGGCGCUCCAAACAGCAGAUUCGACACGCUGAUUCAUUACGCUCUGAAGCUUCAUGAAGCAGUGUUUUGAAAUCGGCCAUCACUUUAGUCAUUAUUUUGUAUUUUUGGCGCACCAAAAAUAUUCUCGUGGCUUUAUAAUAUUAAUAUUGAACCACUGUACUCACGUGAACUGAUUUAAAUAUGAUUUUAGUACAUUAAUGGAUCUUGAGAGAGGAAAUGUCAUUGCUGGCUAUGUAGGCCUCACUGAGCCAUCGGAUUUAAACAUAAAUAUCUCAAUUUGUGUUCCGAAGAUAAAUUAAGGUCUAUUAUAAGGUGAGUUAAUAAGGCUAUUAAUGAGGGUGAGUAAUAAAUGACAGAAUUUUCAUUUUUGGGUGAACUAACCCAAUGUCUUUUAUCUUCAGUUCAUCUAAGGCUGUGGCUGAAGAAAGUUGUAGUUUGUGUUCUUAUUUCUCUUUCUUUCAGUGCUUGUUCACAGCAGGUGUUUGAAUGAUUGAAAGAGUGUUUCAGGAACAUCAUACUAACCUUUAAAUAACAUAUUUGGAGAACGUUCUUAUAACAAAAUUCUGUUAGUUGGGUAAGCCGCUCCCUACGAUUGGCACACCUUCAGCUUCGUUCUCUGCAAGUUUUUGGAAAGUACUCUGGAUUCAGGCUAAAUACCGAACUCUCAAGCCCUCUCCUUGGACAGCACACCAAAUACGCAUACCAUUUAUUCUAUCUAACUUAUUUCUCGUCUGCCUGUUCCUGUCAUCAGCAGUAACUCUUCACAAUGUUCUUCAUCAUCAUCAUCAUCAUGUUCAUUGGUGUGUUCAGCUGUGAAUGUGAGUCAUGUGACUCUCUCCUGGUACAAAGGAAACAGUUUAUUGUCCAGCAUCAGUGUGUCUGAUCUCAGCAUCAGUCUCUCUCUACCUCUGGAGGUGGAAUAUCAGGAUAAAAACACCUACAGCUGUGUGCUGAACAAUCCCAUCAGCAACCAGACUCAACAUCUGAACAUCACUCAGCUCUGUCACACAUGUGCAGGUGUGUUUGGUGUUACAGAUGGACUGAAGUCAGUGUCAGUGAUGGAGGGCGAUAUAGUCACUCUAAACUCUGUUACUAAAGUACAUCCAGAUGAUAUGAUCGUGUGGACGUAUCCUAAAAACUCAAUCAGUGAUUUUUUGGAUUUUUUUCAUGUUUUAAAAUUUAUGAAGGUGGAUCCUCAAACUAGAUCUCUGACCAUCACAAAGAUCAGAACCCAAGACUCUGG